rnacentral:rRNA from 1 species
CCUACGGGGGGCUGCAGUGAGGAAUAUUGGUCAAUGGUCGGGAGACUGAACCAGCCAAGCCGCGUGAGGGAUGAAGGUACAGAGUAUCGUAAACCUCUUUUGUCAGGGAACAAAGGCGGGGACGUGUCCCCGGAUGAGUGUACCUGAAGAAAAAGCAUCGGCUAACUCCGUGCCAGCAGCCGCGGUAAUACGGAGGAUGCGAGCGUUAUCCGGAUUUAUUGGGUUUAAGGGGUGCGCAGGCGGUCUAUUAAGUCAGCGGUCAAAGCCCGGGGCUCAACCCCGGCCCGCCGUUGAAACUGGCAGUCUCGAGUUGGAGAGAAGUAGGCGGAAGGCGCGGUGGAGCGGUGAAAUGCAGAGAGAGCGCGAAGAACUCCGAUGGCGAAGGCAGCAUGCCGGCUCCACACUGACGCUGAGGCACGAAAGCGUGGGUAUCGAACAGGAUUAGAUACCCGGGUAGUC